AUCCUUCUGGUCGAUAUGGGCGUGUAAGUUCCAUGAUCUUUUCUGAUCAUUCUCUGCUGUUAAUUAUCAUUUGCCUUGUCUAACAUGCAAUUAUAGUUAAAUUCAUCUCUAUGAAAGAAUCGCACAGUUGAAUGAUCAAUCCAUUAACCAUCGAAUGUAAAAUCUUUCGCAUAGUUUUGAUGCAUGGAUUGGGAACCAAUGCAAAGCCCAGUGACCUAAUUUCAUCUAACCCAUUUUGAUUUUCUUGAAUUAGCAAAAUUUAACCAUAUUCAUCUUCAAAGGAAAAUUUAUUUAUUACUUUAUUUUUUUUAAAUUGCCAUGCCAUUCUUUGUUUACAUGUUGGGUAAUUAAAAAAAUGUCAAGUUGAAGACAUGAAAUGACCUGGGAAAGUCUGAAUAUUGAACAUGUGUACUAUAUCAAAUCAUAUUGCAAACCUUAAAUAAGAUUAAAUUUGUGAUUAGUUAUAAAUGAAUUACACAUUUUAAGUUGGAUGAUCAUGUUUCUUUCUCUUAAUUUCUUUAUUUUCAUUUUAAUUUUUAAAAUCCCACAACCAACAUAAAUUAAUGUAAUUACAGAACUUCCAUCUACUAUAUUGAGGUAUAGUAUCAACCUUCGUGGGAUUUUUGGCCUUUGCCUUCUGAAGGAUGAGACGCCCAACACUAAAAUUCUAAGCCAAAACUCAAAAGCCUGUCUCUCCAGUGUGCUGAUGAGACGGUUUUAAUUUGCAUCCUUACCACUGGAAAAAAGUUCAAUCCUUGGCUUUCUGGAUUCAUUAAUUAUUGAUGCUACAGAAUGCUGACGGUCUUUAUCCAUAUUUUGUGUGCAGCUCAGAGAAGUUCUAGGCAAAGG
rnacentral:misc_RNA from 1 species